rnacentral:lncRNA from 1 species
UCUUUUUUUUUUUUUUUUUUUUGAGACGUAGUUUCACUCUUGUUCUCCAGGCUGGAGUGCAAUGGCGGGAUCUUGGCUCACCGCAACCUCCGCCUCCCGGGUUCAAGCGAUUCUCCUGCCUCAGCCUCCCAAGUAGCUGGGAUUACAGGCAUGCGCCACCAUGCCUGGCUAAUUUUGUAUUUUUAGUAGAGACGGGGUUUCUCCCUGUUGGUCAGGCUGGUCUCAAACUCCCGACCUCAGGUGAUCCACCCACCUCGGCCUCGCAUAGUGCUGGGAUUACAGGCAUGAGCCACCGUGCCCCGUCUAUGGAGACUAUUAUUCUCAGCGAAGUAACUCAGGAAUGGAAAACCAAACAUCGUACGUUCUCACUCAUAAAUGGGAGCUAAGCUAGGAGGAUGCAAAGGCAUAAGAAUGACACAGUGGACUUUGGGGAAUCAGGGGGAAAGGAUGGGAAGGGGGUGAGGGAUAAAAGACUAUUAAUUGGGUGCAGUCUAUAUUGCUUGGGUGAUGGGUGCACACAAAUUUCACAAAUCACCACUAAAGAACUUACUUACGUAACCAAA